AACGUCAGUGAUGAAACUCC
rnacentral:miRNA from 2 species